AUUGAACGCUGGCGGCAGGCCUAACACAUGCAAGUCGAGCGGAUGAGUGGAGCUUGCUCCAUGAUUCAGCGGCGGACGGGUGAGUAAUGCCUAGGAAUCUGCCUGGUAGUGGGGGACAACGUUUCGAAAGGAACGCUAAUACCGCAUACGUCCUACGGGAGAAAGCAGGGGACCUUCGGGCCUUGCGCUAUCAGAUGAGCCUAGGUCGGAUUAGCUAGUAGGUGAGGUAAUGGCUCACCUAGGCGACGAUCCGUAACUGGUCUGAGAGGAUGAUCAGUCACACUGGAACUGAGACACGGCCCAGACUCCUACGGGAGGCAGCAGUGGGGAAUUUUGGACAAUGGGCGCAAGCCUGAUCCAGCAAUGCCGCGUGCAGGAUGAAGGCCUUCGGUUGUAAACUGCUUUGUUACGGAACGAAACGGUGAGCUCUAAUAC
rnacentral:rRNA from 1 species